GCUUCUUGUCUACGAGUACGUGAGUAAUGGAUCUUUAGCAAGUUCCUUGUUCGGCAUAACCAGGCCUGACUGGAAUCGAAGAGUACAGAUUGCCCUCGGCAUUGCAAGAGGCCUGAUGUACUUACAUGAAGAGUGCAGUACCCAAAUAAUCCACUGUGACAUAAAGCCUCAAAAUAUACUAUUAGAUGAGUUCUCUACGCCCAGGAUUUCUGACUUUGGAUUGGCGAAGCUUUU
rnacentral:misc_RNA from 1 species